ANAGCUGCGGCGGCUUACACAUGCAGUCGNACGAAGCUUUCGGGCUUANUGGCGGACGGGUGAGUAACGCGUGGGAACGUGCCCUUUGCUACGGAACAGUCCCGGGAAACUGGGUUUAAUACCGUAUAUCCUCUACGGAGGAAAGAUUUAUCGGCAAAGGAUCGGCCCGCGUUGGAUUAGGUAGUUGGUGGGGUAAAGGCCUACCAAGCCGACGAUCCAUAGCUGGUUUGAGAGGAUGAUCAGCCACACUGGGACUGAGACACGGCCCAGACUCCUACGGGAGGCAGCAGUGGGGAAUCUUAGACAAUGGGGGCAACCCUGAUCUAGCCAUGCCGCGUGAUCGAUGAAGGCCUUAGGGUUGUAAAGAUCUUUCGCUGGGGAAGAUAAUGACGGUACCCAGUAAAGAAGCCCCGGCUAACUCCGUGCCAGCAGCCGCGGUAAUACGGAGGGGGCUAGCGUUGUUCGGAAUUACUGGGCGUAAAGCGCGCGUAGGCGGAUUGGAAAGUUGGGGGUGAAAUCCCGGGGCUCAACCCCGGAACUGCCUCCAAAACUAUCAGUCUGGAGUUCGAGAGAGGUGAGUGGAAUUGCGAGUGUAGAGGUGAAAUUCGUAGAUAUUCGCAGGAACACCAGUGGCGAAGGCGGCUCACUGGCUCGAUACUGACGCUGAGGUGCGAAAGUGUGGGGAGCAAACAGGGUUAGAUACCCUGGUAGUCCACACCGUAAACGAUGAAUGCCAGACGUCGGCAAGCAUGCUUGUCGGUGUCACACCUAACGGGAUUAAGC
rnacentral:rRNA from 1 species